rnacentral:rRNA from 1 species
UAUCGGUAUGGGAUGGGGUCGCGUCCUAUCAGCUUGAUGGCGGGGUAACGGCCCACCAUGGCUUCGACGGGUAGCCGGCCUGAGAGGGCGACCGGCCACACGGGACUGAGAUACGGCCCAGACUCCUACGGGAGGCAGCAGUGGGGAAUAUUGCACAAUGGGCGCAAGCCUGAUGCAGCGACGCCGCGUGCGGGAUGACGGCCUUCGGGUUGUAAACCGCUUUUGACUGGGAGCAAGCCCUUCGGGGUGAGUGUACCUUUCGAAUAAGCACCGGCUAACUACGUGCCAGCAGCCGCGGUAAUACGUAGGGUGCAAGCGUUAUCCGGAAUUAUUGGGCGUAAAGGGCUCGUAGGCGGUUCGUCGCGUCCGGUGUGAAAGUCCAUCGCUUAACGGUGGAUCCGCGCCGGGUACGGGCGGG